UUAAUCUUACAUACUGUUCUUUCAUGUUUCGAUGAUGUUGCUGAUAUGAAAAUAGUAUCAUGUUAUGUAUUUGUUUUGUGCUCCAAUAAAAAGGUAUUUAAAAAAAAAAAAGCACCUUGUUGACGGGGUGGCCAAGAUGGCGGCUCGAAGAGGCGGAUAUCGCAGGUCUCACAAAACGUCUCGAUUGAGAAGGAGAUUCAAAAAAAAACCCGAGGAUUCUCCACCUCACUUUGACCCGAUUUGAAACAACGAACCGCUGACGAUGCCGACGUCAGGUCGAAGCUUCCGCUUCAGUCCCGAGCUUUGCUCCGAUAGGUGGCGGCGACGCACCUGCGCGCUGCUCGACGCUGUGCGGAAUGUUUGUUGUCCCCCGCAGGCGAGGAAUCCGCGACGCUCGAGGCAAUUCAAGAAACACAAGUCGACCGAAAAGGAGCCGGAGGUCGUUCCCCUGAACCGGAGCGACAAAUAUUGACUCUGUGACCUCCUGCUUCCCUUUGGCCCGGAGCGGAGCGACGACGAGGAGAGGCCACGCGAUCGAUCGCGCGGCCUCAGACGCCGGCCUAUAAAAAGCGGAGGGCCCGCCGCGGUCCAAGUUCAAGUUCUCGAGUGCCGGCGGCGAGAUGAAGUGGCUGCUGGUGUUUGCGAGCGUCACGACGUGCGUUUCGGCUCGUCCGUCUCAUCGGCUGAGCAGGUGAGAGCCGAGAGAGCC